AACAAACGCUGGCGGCGUGCCUAAUACAUGCAAGUCGAACGGGGAAAGCUUUCGGGUGAGUACUAGUGGCGCACGGGUGAGGAACGCGUGGAUAAUCUGCCUUAGUGUGGGGGAUAACUAGUCGAAAGAUUAGCUAAUACCGCAUAAGACCACAGGAGCUGCGGCUCAAGGGGUCAAAGGUUUUUCGCUCUAAGAUGAGUCCGCGUAAGAUUAGCUAGUUGGUGAGGUAACGGCUCACCAAGGCGACGAUCUUUAACUGGUCUGAGAGGAUGACCAGUCACAAUGGAACUUAGACACGGUCCAGACUCCUACGGGAGGCAGCGGUAGGGAAUAUUGCACAAUGGAGGAAACUCUGAUGCAGCGACGCCGCGUGAGUGAUGAAGGCCUUCGGGUCGUAAAGCUCUGUCGCAGGGGAAUAACACAAUGAAUGUACCCUGUAAGAAAGGAUCGGCUAACUUCGUGCCAGCCGCCGCGGUAAAAC
rnacentral:rRNA from 1 species